AUGGAUGAAGCGUUGAAGUUCUUUUCCUAUGAGAAUGAAACAGAUAUGUUGAUGAUGAAGAAGAGUGAAGAUGCAGAUAUGGUCAUUGCAGAGAAAGAGAGAACUCAGAGGAGCCAUUUCAAGAAGCGGUUGGAGUUUGUUAAGAAGAAUUCGGUUAGCAGUUUUUUCUGUUUUGGUUAUUGUUAUAGAGGUUAUGGAGAAUAUGGUUAUGGCAGGGGAAAGGGUUGUUUGACAAUUACAGUAGUUAGGAAAUGGUUCUGCUAUGAUAUAGUUAUUUGGAUUUGCAAUUUUGUUUUGGCUUCUACUGGUGUAUCUGGGUGGAAGACAUGGAAUACUUUAACAAGGAUUGCUUUGGAUUGA